AAUAAAGAAAAUCAAAUAAAUCAUGAAAUACUCAUAUUUUCAUGUCAUGUUUCGCGAAGUCGUUCCGACUUUCAUCUCUGAGGAUAGAUACAGAUUUCCGACUACUCAUGUGGAAUAACCAGAUCAGAUACAGAUAACGGCAAUUUGCUUAGGCACAUGUUUAGCUUGCCAAACCAUAGUGGUCCUAUUAGAUAUUCUAUAGUCACGACAGUACUUACCCAAAGGUGAUCCCU
rnacentral:lncRNA from 1 species